rnacentral:rRNA from 1 species
UACGGAGGAUGCAAGCGUUAUCCGGAAUGAUUGGGCGUAAAGCGUCCGCAGGUGGCAAUGUAAGUCUGCUGUUAAAGAGUGAGGCUCAACCUCAUAAGAGCAGUGGAAACUACAUAGCUAGAGUGCGUUCGGGGCAAAGGGAAUUCCUGGUGUAGCGGUGAAAUGCGUAGAGAUCAGGAAGAACACCGGUGGCGAAAGCAGUGUUCUGGGCCAGUACUGACGCUGAGGAGCGAAAGCGUGGGGAGCAAACAGG